UACGUAGGAGGCAAGCGUUGUUCGGAAUUACUGGGCGUAAAGGGCGCGUAGGCGGCACAGCAAGUCGGGAGUGAAAGCCCGGGGCUCAACCCCGGAAUGGCUUUCGAAACUGCUGAGCUAGAGUACAGAAGGGGCAACCGGAAUUCCCAGUGUAGCGGUGAAAUGCGUAGAUAUUGGGAAGAACACCUGAGGCGAAGGCGGGUUGCUGGGCUGAUACUGACGCUGAGGCGCGAAAGCCAGGGGAGCAAACGGG
rnacentral:rRNA from 1 species